GCUUUGCAAUGAAACCAACUCUUCAAUAGUAAGUGGCUUAUCAUUUACAACAACCAGAUGAGGUGGUAACUGAUUUACUUCACAAGAGUGCUCGGGUUUCAUAAUGUGCUUAAAGGUUUCAUCAACGAGGAUUCUCCUCAGCAGUGGAGAAGUUUUGCCUAAUGAUCCACGCCUCGACUCAUCAAUUCGAUAACCAACGCAAGUAAUACAUUUUCGCCCUUCUGGCAUUGAUCCCAUUGCUCUGAUCACGCACUUAAUGCAAUACUUAGAACCACAAACAAUACAAACUUCCUUGUUUGCUGUUGCAUUGGUGGCAUAAGCCUUUUACCUCGUUCGGUACCACUGGUAUCUCCACAAUGACUACCAACCGAAAGUGAUCACUUUCAUUAGAAGUUAUUUCAUGUUGUGUAAAUUCAUGAAAAUC
rnacentral:lncRNA from 1 species